GAAGCAAACAAAGAGAUACAACUUAAACAUUGCAAAACUGAAGAACAAUUGGCGGACAUAUUCACGAAGGCGCUACCACGAGCAAAGUUCGAGCUACUACGAGAAAUGAUUGGAGUUACCGAAAUGAGCAUCAAGGAGGAGUGAUAAAUUUAAUGAUGCUCAUUUCUAGAAGAAUCUAGAAUUACUUGCCUACAAUAUCCUAGAAUUCCUUGGUAAGCAAGUAUAAUAAAAAAAUUAGAAUUGUCUAGGUUCCACUAGAGUAACUUGG
rnacentral:lncRNA from 1 species